CGUUCAAUACCAACUUACGGUUAUACACCAUCAAACACUAUUAAACAGUUUUAAUACAUAUAGAAAAAGCCGAGAAUAUGGCUAGCAACAUAAUUGAUGUUUACGUGAAGCUGCCAACAGGCAGAACAUGUCAGUUUGAUCUCUCGGGGUCCGACAACAUUGCCAGGGUUUGCGACGUCAUCGCAUCACAGGAAGCGGUUGACAGCGGUGCGGUGCGACUACGUUACCAGGGGAAGUACCUUGAUCGCAAUUCCACGCUGAGUUACCUGGGAGUUCGACCAGAAACCAUCCUCAGAGCUGAAAUUUUGAUUCCCAAGGACCAGGAUGUUUUGGUUCAGCUUCCUAACGGAGAGGAAACCCGAUACACUGUGAAGAAUACCGACAAGAUACUGACCUUGAGACUCAGACUGGCCAAGGAUCACGACAAAUUACUGAACAAAACAAAGCUUAUGCUGAAAGGAACGCCUAUCCGUGGAACAACAUUCGUGGAGGCGGGGAUAAGCGAGGGCACGGUGUUAUACUUGAGUUGGAACGAGGAAGAUGACAGUUCGGACGAGAUAAAGUCUAAAAACAAGACCAGUUCAAAAGAAGAAAUGAAAGAAGAAGAUCUCGAGGCCAUCCUGACGAGUUUUGACACUGGAGGGAAAAACGUCGAAGUUGUGUUUUCCUUUGACACCACUGGCAGCAUGUAUCAGUACCUGAAAACGGUAAGAUCGAAGCUUCAACAAUGCUGCACCCGCCUUAUUCAGGACAUUCCCAACAUCCGAAUUGGUUUGAUAGCGCAUGGAGAUUACUGUGAUCAAAACUCGUCCUACGUCAUCAAAACCUUGGAUAUGACGUCAGACGUUCAGAGCCUUGUCAGCUUCGCGAAUACGGUUCCACAGACAUGCGGAGGGGAUUCCCCAGAGUGCUACGAAUGGACUCUGCGGAAAGCGCAACAUAUGGACUGGUCUGAAGAUUCGGCUAAGGCCCUGAUUGUGAUAGGGGACUGCGAACCCCACCCUCCGUCGUACACGGACCAGGCCCUCAACUGGCACUGCGAGCUCGACGUACUGAUCGGGAUGGGUGUAAAGGUGUACGGCGUGAAGGCAGGUAAUAAUGAAAUGCCGAAGGCGUUCUAUGAAGAACUGGCGGACAGAUCUGGAGGCUGUUACUUACCUCUGCAACACUUUGACGUCAUCGUAGACAUGUUUAUGGCGGUUUGCUACCGGGAAUCGAAUCAGGAUCAGUUCGAAGCGUUCGUGCAGGAGGUGGAAGACGGGGGUCAGAUGACUGAAGCGAAAGAAAGAAAUGUUUAAGAAACUGGAGGAGACGCCAAAAGAGCCCAAACGUAUAACACAGCGCUACGUCCGUGAGCCGUGGUGGGACCGGGGUUUGGAUGUUACUGUUAGCCGGGACGAUCAAUAUACAUACGACAAGGACACCGACAGGUGGUCGUUAGUCCCAUGCCUACCUGUAUCAAUUACUUCGCCUUUAGUCGACUCUAGAGACAUCGAUGCGAGAAGUUUCUUCAACUCAAAAAACAAGAAAAAGAAACCAUGCUGCUGUAUUAUGUAACUUUCACCAAGUGAUGUCACUUUGUGAACUUUAAUAUGCUGACACGCCGUUUUCUGUGCGACUAGAAUGACGUGACUAGAAUGAAGUGACAAGAAUGAAGUUAUAAUGAAGUUACAAGAAUGAAGUUAGAAUGAAGUGACUAGAAUGAACUUAGAAUGAAGUGACUAGAAUGAACUUAGAAUGAAGUGACUAGAAUGAAGUGACAUAAAUGAAUCUCCUCAUUGUGGAGUGUCCAAACUUUGACUUCAGAACACUGAGCUCACGAGUUCGUAUCCAACACGUAGCUUGUCGUUCAUGCGAUGAUAAACACUAAAACUGUUUUACACACUUUAUGAAUGGCGUAUAUAUUAUUUUAUUUUAUUAUUACUUUGUUUUCUCACUGGAAAUAUUGAAUGUUUAAAUUUGCUCACAUUGCGUAGAAUAUGUUUAUUUUACGCCAUGUUCCAUGGAUAUGGUCGGAGUGAAAUAAAGAAUCAUUAUGAAUGAAAUAAAGAAUCAUUAUGAAUGAAAAGAUAUUGCUGACUCAUGGUUCCAAUACUAAUUCUAAUACUGAUUGCGUUAUGGGUGGUCCUUAAAGGUGUAGACACUCAUUUUAACCCGUAAAAUAUUGACAUUAAGUUUACUUAAUUUACAAACUUGUAACUCAUUUAAAGUUACAAUAGAGUUAAAAAAGGAGUUUGUGACGAUAUUCCGGAAAAUAUCCUAAAAAUAGACUUGAACUCAAAUCAAUAAUCUUCUUCUUAGAAGCACGUGCGUUUUUUUAAAAUAUGAAAAAUGUUGAGGGUGUUUUGGUAUUAGAAACACCAGGAUGACCAGAAACACUUCGGU
rnacentral:misc_RNA from 1 species